ACACGCAAGCACACGUGGAAAGCCUUGCCUGGGGAGGAGCUGAGGCUCCUCCAACAGCUGGACCAGCUAACUUGGAGCCAUCUUGGAAGCAGAUCCUUUAUCCCAGUCUAGACUUCCAGGUGACUGCAGUCCCAACCAACAUCUUGCCUGCAGUCUCAAGAGGGGCUCUGAGCCAGAACCACCCAGGUGGGCCCUAAGUCCAUCGGCUGGUUCCCCAUGAGGGAAAGGAGAGGGAGAUUCGACACAGACCCAGAGGCGAAGGCAGGUGACAACGGAGGCAGAGGUUGGAGUGACGUGUCUAUAAGCCAAAGACAGUGUGUUGGCUGCCACCAGAAGCUGGGAGAGAGGCACUGAACGUUUUCCCUCAGGGCCUCCAGAAGGAACCAGCCCUGCCAACACCUUGGUUUUGGACUUCUGGCUCCAGAACUGUAGGAUGAUAACUUUCUGAUGUUUUAAGCCACUCAGUUAGUGGUAAUUUGAUACAACAGGUGCAGGAAACUCAGACAGAGGGCGAGGAUGAGGGAAAGAAGAGGAAAAGGAAGAAGAGGAAGGGGGACAAGAGCAAGGGCUUCUAAAGGGCAAAGGACACGAAGGUUCAGAAGUCGGUCAGAGGGAUGCUCCGUGUGCCUGGAGGAUCUCUGCCCUCUGCCUGUUCUUGUUCCAAUAAAGUUAAAUUUUUUUUCUUUUA